UACAGAGGUCUCAAGCGUUGUUCGGAUUCAUUGGGCGUAAAGGGUGCGUAGGUGGCGCGUUAAGUCCGUUGUGAAAGCCCUGGGCUCAACCCAGGAACUGCUUCGGAUACUGGCGCGCUUGAGGCUAGUAGGGGUCACUGGAACUGACGGUGGAGCGGUGAAAUGCGUAGAUAUCGUCAGGAACGCCAAUGGUGAAGACAGGUGACUGGGCUAGUUCUGACACUGAGGCACGAAAGCGUGGGGAGCGAACGGGG
rnacentral:rRNA from 1 species